GAUGAAGAACGUAGCGAAAUGCGAUACGUAAUGUGAAUUGCAGAAUUCAGUGAAUCAUCGAAUCUUUGAACGCAUAUUGCGCUCUCUGGUAUUCCGGAGAGCAUGCUUGUUUGAGUAUCAGUAAACACCUCAACUCCCUUUUCUUUUUUGAAAUGGGAGUUGGACUUGAGUGAUACCAACGCUUUUCCUCACCGAAAAGUGGCGGGUUACUUGAAAUGCAGGUGCAGCUGGACUUUUCUCUGAGCUAUAAGCAUAUCUAUUUAGUCUGCCUAAAAAACAGAUUAUUACCUUUGCUGCAGCUAACAUAAAGGAGAUUAGUUCUUGUGCUGACUGAUGCAGGAUUCACAAAGACAGGCUUCGGCCGACUUUGUAAACUCGAUCUCAAAUCAAGUAAGACUACCCGCUGAACUUAAGCAUAUCAAUAAGCGGAGGA
rnacentral:misc_RNA from 1 species